GGGUUCAUUCUACCUAAAAUCAUUUCUACCUGAAGCAAUUAUCAUUCUGUCAGAAACACGGCCAUGUUAUCACCCUGUAUCCUGGCAAACAAGUGUGCCCUCAGAUCAUCAUUAUAGGAUCUAUGAGAUGUCAGUAAUGAUGUGUCUUUCAGGGGCCAAUGGAAGGAUGCAUACCAACAAGGUGUUACAUCCAGAGGUGGCUCUUUGCUAUCUAAAUUGGACUUAACCGAACCUGGAAGCACAAUGUCUGAUGAACAUUCUUCUCCCACUCCCUAGAUUUUUGGUGUUUGCUCUCUGGCCCCCCAGAAAGAGAGAACAUAGUAGCUUAAAGAAACAGAUGGCACAGACAAGAAUUUGUGUUCGAAUCUCGGA
rnacentral:lncRNA from 12 species